rnacentral:rRNA from 1 species
UACGUAGGGACCAAGCGUUGUUCGGAUUUACUGGCGUAAAGGGCGCGUAGGCGGCGUGUUAAGUCACUUGUGAAAUCUCUAAGCUUAACUUAGAACGGUCAAGUGAUACUGAUGUGCUAGAGUGCAGAAGGGGCAACCCGGAAGUUCUUGGUGUAGCGGUGAAAUGCGUAGAUAUCAAGAGGAACACCUGAGGUGAAGACGGGUUGCUGGGCUGACACUGACGCUGAGGCGCGAAAGCUAGGGUAGCAAACGGG